rnacentral:rRNA from 1 species
UGGGGAAUAUUGCACAAUGGAGGGAACUCUGAUGCAGCGACGCCGCGUGAACGAAGAAGGCUUUCGAGUCGUAAAGUUCUUUUAUAUGGGAAGAUAAUGACGGUACCAUAAGAAAAAGCCCCGGCUAACUACGUGCCAGCAGCCGCGGUAAUACGUAGGGGGCUAGCGUUGUCCGGAAUCACUGGGCGUAAAGGGUUCGCAGGCGGAAAUGCAAGUCAGGUGUAAAAGGCAGUAGCUUAACUACUGUAAGCAUUUGAAACUGCUUAUCUUGAGAAGAGUAGAGGUAAGUGGAAUUUUUAGUGUAGCGGUGAAAUGCGUAGAUAUUAAAAAGAAUACCGGUGGCGAAGGCGACUUACUGGGCUCAUUCUGACGCUGAGGAACGAAAGCGUGGGUAGCAAACAGG